GACGAACGCUGGCGGCGUGCUUAACACAUGCAAGUCGAACGGAGUGGCGAACGGGUGAGUAACACGUGGGUGAUCUGCCUUGCACUUCGGGAUAAGCUUGGGAAACUGGGUCUAAUACCGGAUAGUGCAAGAUGAGCUCGCGGCCUGUCAGCUUGUUGGGGGGGUAUUGGCCUACCAAGGCGUCGACGGGUAGCCGGCCUGGGAGGGGGUACGGCCACAUUGGGACUGAGAUACGGCCCGGACUCCUACGGGGGGCAGAAGGGGGGAAUGGUGCACAAUGGGCGGAAGCCUGAUGCGGCGACGCCGCGUGGGGGAUGAAGGCCUUCGGGUUGUAAACUCCUUUCGACAGGGACGCGGUACCUGUAUAAGAAGCACCGGCUAACUACGUGCCAGCAGCCGCGGUAAUUC
rnacentral:rRNA from 1 species